rnacentral:rRNA from 1 species
GAAGGGGGGACGGAGAAGGCUAUGUUGGCCGGGCGAUGGUUGUCCCGGUUUAAGCGUGUAGGCUGGUUUUCCAGGCAAAUCCGGAAAACCAAGGCUGAGGCGUGAUGACGAGGCACUACGGUGCUGAAGCGACAAAUGCCCUGCUUCCAGGAAAAGCCUCUAAGCAUCAGGUAACAUCAAAUCGUACCCCAAACCGACACAGGUGGUCAGGUAGAGAAUACCAAGGCGCUUGAGAGAACUCGGGUGAAGGAACUAGGCAAAAUGGUGCCGUAACUUCGGGAGAAGGCACGCUGAUAUGUAGGUGAAGUCCCUCGCGGAUGGAGCUGAAAUCAGUCGAAGAUACCAGCUGGCUGCAACUGUUUAUUAAAAACACAGCACUGUGCAAACACGAAAGUGGACGUAUACGGUGUGACGCCUGCCCGGUGCCGGAAGGUUAAUUGAUGGGGUUAGCGGCAACGCGAAGCUCUUGAUCGAAGCCCCGGUAAACGGCGGCCGUAACUAUAACGGUCCUAAGGUAGCGAAAUUCCUUGUCGGGUAAGUUCCGACCUGCACGAAUGGCGUAAUGAUGGCCAGGCUGUCUCCACCCGAGACUCAGUGAAAUUGAACUCGCUGUGAAGAUGCAGUGUACCCGCGGCAAGACGGAAAGACCCCGUGAACCUUUACUAUAGCUUGACACUGAACAUUGAGCCUUGAUGUGUAGGAUAGGUGGGAGGCUUUGAAGUGUGGACGCCAGUCUGCAUGGAGCCGACCUUGAAAUACCACCCUUUAAUGUUUGAUGUUCUAACGUUGGCCCGUAAUCCGGGUUGCGGACAGUGUCUGGUGGGUAGUUUGACUGGGGCGGUCUCCUCCUAAAGAGUAACGGAGGAGCACGAAGGUUGGCUAAUCCUGGUCGGACAUCAGGAGGUUAGUGCAAUGGCAUAAGCCAGCUUGACUGCGAGCGUGACGGCGCGAGCAGGUGCGAAAGCAGGUCAUAGUGAUCCGGUGGUUCUGAAUGGAAGGGCCAUCGCUCAACGGAUAAAAGGUACUCCGGGGAUAACAGGCUGAUACCGCCCAAGAGUUCAUAUCGACGGCGGUGUUUGGCACCUCGAUGUCGGCUCAUCACAUCCUGGGGCUGAAGUAGGUCCCAAGGGUAUGGCUGUUCGCCAUUUAAAGUGGUACGCGAGCUGGGUUUAGAACGUCGUGAGACAGUUCGGUCCCUAUCUGCCGUGGGCGCUGGAGAACUGAGGGGGGCUGCUCCUAGUACGAGAGGACCGGAGUGGACGCAUCACUGGUGUUCGGGUUGUCAUGCCAAUGGCACUGCCCGGUAGCUAAAUGCGGAAGAGAUAAGUGCUGAAAGCAUCUAAGCACGAAACUUGCCCCGAGAUGAGUUCUCCCUGACUCCUUGAGAGUCCUGAAGGAACGUUGAAGACGACGACGUUGAUAGGCCGGGUGUGUAAGCGCAGCGAUGCGUUGAGCUAACCGGUACUAAUGAACCGUGAGGCUUAACCUU